CAACCCUCAAGCCCAGCUUGGUGUUGGGGCGCCCGGCCGCCUGGCGGUCCGGGGCCCUCAAGUGUAUCGGCGGUCUCGUCGGAACUCUGAGCGCAGUAACUCGCGGUAAAACGCGCCUCGCUUGGUCUGUCUCCGGCGGGCUCCAGCCGCUAAACCCCCCUCUCUCCCAG
rnacentral:misc_RNA from 1 species